rnacentral:lncRNA from 1 species
CUGAUUUGAAUGUGGGAUAACUUCUUCUUCUCAGCUCCUAUGAGAUUUUUUUCAACUUCCUGGUCAUUCUACACCAGUUUAUGUAUCCAUAUCAAGCUUCUAAAAAAGUGAUUCAUCCUGGUUCGAUUGGAACGACGAAGAAGUUGUCUUAUUCCCAAAUUGGAAAAGUGGAAUCAACUGAUUUGAAAGUGUGAUAACUUCUUCUUCCCAGCUCCUAUGAGAUUUUUUUCACCUUCCUGGUCAUUCUACACCAGUUUAUGUAUCCAUAUCAAGCUUCUAAAAAAGUGAUUCAUCCUGGUUCGAUUGGAACGACGAAGAAGUUGUCUUAUUCCUAACUAGGAAACUGGAAUCAACUAAUUUGAAUGUGGGAUAACUUCUUCUUCCCAGCUCCUAUGAGAUUUUUUUCAACUUCCUGGUCAUUCUCCUCCACUUUAUGUAUCCAUAUCAAGCUUCUUACAAAGUGAUUCAUCCUAGUUCGAUUGGAACGACGAAGAAGUUGUCUUAUUCCCAAACUGGGAAUUUGGAAUCAACUGAUUUGAAAGUGGGAUAACUUCUUCUUCCCAACUCCUAUGAGAUUUAUUCAACUUCCUGGUCAUUCUCCACCACUUUAUGUAUCCAUAUCAAGCUUCUUACAAAGUGAUUCAUCCUGGUUCGAUUGGAACGACGAAGAAGUUGUCUUAUUCCCAAGCUGGAAAACUGGAAUCAACUGAUUUGAAAGUGGAAUAACUUCUUCUUCCCUACUCCUAUGAGAUUUAUUCAACUUCCUGGUCAUUCUCCACCAC